rnacentral:tRNA from 1 species
GUGUGGUGGUUCAGGGGUAGAGCACUCGCCUAGCAAGUGUGAGGCACUGAGUUCAACCCUCAGAACCACAUA